UGGACAGGAACCGGAUAUGAUCCCUGCUUCAGUCUUUCCUCGCAGCUCGUGGAUGUGAACGGAGCCAAGAUGAAGUCUGAGCAGAUGAAUCUUCAACUCUUCGACAAAGAAGAUUUGAAAAUCCACAGUUUCCAGUCCAGUGUUUCCAUCUGGUUCCAGAGAAGCUUCUCAAACAGAAAUGGCUGAGAGCGGGGAGGAGACAGGUGCAUUCUGGGAACACAAAUCCUUCAGGGACAAUGUGAAGUGUCGAGAUCCAAGUUGAACGGGAACUCGUCGCCUGUGGAGCUGGUGAGAAUGAGGAGGCUUCAGAUCUGACGGGACAGACAUCCUGUUUCUGACCAGAUGAACAGCUGGUUGAUGGAUGGUAUAUUCAUGACUCGCCACAGAGUAAAUUAAGACUCUUGAUGCUCCUGCUGAUGACAGACGGCUGCCAGUCGAGUUUAUUUUAAAGGUACAUUCAGGACUCGACCCACAGCAAAUUAACUCUUGAUGCUGCUGCUGAUCUGGUUUAUUUUAUUGGUUUCCACAAACAAAACGUGCAAAUAUAUUCAUCAGCCAGAAGACGGCUGCUGACGAGCAGCACAACAGACCUGAAUGAAGAAAAUACAAAUUGUGAUGUUUAAUGAAAUUCCCAAUAAAAACUAAUACAAAUACA